rnacentral:miRNA from 1 species
CCCCAGAUGUUGCUGAACUACAACUCCCAUGAUUCCCUGGCAAUCUGUUUAAUUGAAAGAAUAAUGGGAGUUGUAGUUCAGCAACAUCUGGGG